AUGACAGACGAGGAGAAGCUCCUAAUCCGAACUUUCAAUGUUGUGAAGCUACAAACAAGACAAAUAAUAGCAAUCCUAAGUUACUUGAGAGGCGGGAACACUCCUUACACCAAAAAGCAUGUAAGCAAUGUUAGAACAACCAUUGGCAAAGAGAGCAAUCAAAAUGACAUGAUGCAGGUGCUCACAUAUUUCAGGAAGAGACAAGCUGAAGAUCCACACUUUUACUAUGCGUUCAAAACAACUAAAGUCUCUGAUGACGCAAGUAAAGUUUUGUGCAUUUUCUGGGCUGACGGAUAUUCUAGGAAAAUGUAUGAGCUGUAUGGAGACUGCCUCAGCUUCGACACAACAUUCAAGACAAAUAGAUACAACCUCCCGUUUGCUCCCUUUGUUGGUGUCAUGGGACAUGGCCAGAACUGUUUGUUGGCUUGCUCUAUCAUAGAGAAUGAAACAGCUGACACCUUUCAAUGGUUGUUUGAGACAUUCUUGCAUUGCAUGGGUGGGAAAUCUCCGUCCACAAUCAUAACAGACGAGGAUGCUGGGAUGAAGACAGCUAUUCCUUUAGUUUUCCCGCAUAUCUGCCACAGGCGUUGUUUGUUUCAUAUUAAAAAUGGAAAUGGGUGUGGGUAUUAG
rnacentral:rRNA from 1 species